rnacentral:rRNA from 1 species
GCGAUACCACCCCGAACGCGCCAGAUCUCGUCUGAUCUUGGAAGUUAAACAGGGUUAGGCCUGGUUAGUACUUGGAUGGGAGAAUACAGGAGC